GUGGGGAAUAUUGGACAAUGGGCGCAAGCCUGAUCCAGCCAUACCGCGUGGGUGAAGAAGGCCUUCGGGUUGUAAAGCCCUUUUGUUGGGAAAGAAAUCCUGUCGGUUAAUAACCGGUGGGGAUGACGGUACCCAAAGAAUAAGCACCGGCUAACUUCGUGCCAGCAGCCGCGGUAAUACGAAGGGUGCAAGCGUUACUCGGAAUUACUGGGCGUAAAGCGUGCGUAGGUGGUGGUUUAAGUCUGCUGUGAAAGCCCUGGGCUCAACCUGGGAAUUGCAGUGGAUACUGGAUCACUAGAGUGUGGUAGAGGGAUGCGGAAUUUCUGGUGUAGCAGUGAAAUGCGUAGAGAUCAGAAGGAACAUCCGUGGCGAAGGCGGCAUCCUGGGCCAACACUGACACUGAGGCACGAAAGCGUGGGGAGCAA
rnacentral:rRNA from 1 species